GUCAGCAGCCGCGGUAACACCGGCGGCCCGAGUGGUGAUCGUGAUUAUUGGGUCUAAAGGGUCCGUAGCCGGUUUGGUCAGUCCUCCGGGAAAUCUGAUAGCUCAACUAUUAGGCUUUCGGGGGAUACUGCCAGACUGGAACCGGGAGAGGUAAGAGGUACUACAGGGGUAGGAGUGAAAUCUUGUAAUCCCUGUGGGACCACCUGUGGCGAAGGCGUCUUACCAGAACGGGUUCGACGGUGAGGGACGAAAGCGUGGGGGCACGAACCGGAUUAGAUACCCGGGUAGUCCCAGCCGUAAACGAUGCUCGCUAGGUGUCAGGCAUGGCGCGACCGUGUCUGGUGCCGCAGGGAAGCCGUGAAGCGAGCCACCUGGGAAGUACGGCCGCAAGGCUGAAACUUAAAGGAAUUGGCGGGGGAGCACAACAACGGGUGGGAAGCCUGCGGUUUAAUUGGACUCAACGCCGGACAACUCACCGGGGGCGACAGCAAUAUGUAGGCCAAGCUGAAGACUUUGCCUGAAUCGCUGAGAGGAGGUGCAUGG
rnacentral:rRNA from 1 species